rnacentral:piRNA from 1 species
UACAUACAGGGGCCUCAUAGGACAUC